AUGUCAACGCAGACACAAAACAGGGCAUGGGUCAGAUCUAGCUGGUUGCAUUCCUAACACCUAGGUUUCAGAGUAAAAAUACAGAGUCAGCUUGUGAUGGCAUUCCCUCAAAACAUGGAAGGAAUUGCAGUAAUGAAAGUCAUCAUGUAUUCUAAGAGACUGUUCUGCGAGAGCACAACACAGACGGGGCUAAAGCAGGGAUUGUCUAAGCCCAGUGUGGAGGAACCAUCAAGGAUUUCAGCACGUUUUUUUAGCCAUUGUGAGAAGCAAAAGUGCUCAGGAGUUAAGAGAAGCAGACGUCCGAAAUUAUCUCCAUGCAUUACCAAAAACCGUGGGCACCACGGCACGGGGAAAACUUACCAGGUACAAUGAGCCAGUGACUGUUACUGAAUUUCUUAAGAUUACACUUUUCCCAACUACUGCAGACUGCUUCAGAAUAGAAGAAGACAACUCUCAUGCCAUCAAGCCGACGGACUUUCAAAAAAAUAAAAGAUGCAUUUCUUUACUUGUAAGUAUUUGUCUUUGCAAAGGGCUCUCUGAUAUGGUAGCACAGAAGUUUGCACAUUCUAAGGAUCU
rnacentral:lncRNA from 1 species